rnacentral:rRNA from 1 species
AACGAACGCUGGCGGCAGGCCUAACACAUGCAAGUCGAGCGAGCAUUUCGGUGCUAGCGGCGGACGGGUGAGUAACGCGUGGGAACGUGCCCUUUUCUGCGGAAUAGUCCUGGGAAACUGGUGGUAAUACCGCAUACGCCCUUUUGGGGAAAGAUUUAUCGGAGAAGGAUCGGCCCGCGUUGGAUUAGGUAGUUGGUGGGGUAAUGGCCCACCAAGCCGACGAUCCAUAGCUGGUUUGAGAGGAUGAUCAGCCACACUGGGACUGAGACACGGCCCAGACUCCUACGGGAGGCAGCAGUGGGGAAUCUUAGACAAUGGGGGCAACCCUGAUCUAGCCAUGCCGCGUGAGUGAUGAAGGCCUUAGGGUUGUAAAGCUCUUUCAGCUGGGAAGAUAAUGACGGUACCAGCAGAAGAAGCCCCGGCUAACUCCGUG